rnacentral:rRNA from 1 species
GACGUAGGGCGCGAGCGUUGUCCGGAUUUAUUGGGCGUAAAGAGCUCGUAGGCGGCUUGUCGCGUCGACUGUGAAAACUCGGGGCUCAACUCCGAGCUUGCAGUCGAUACGGGCAGGCUAGAGUUCGGUAGGGGAGACUGGAAUUCCUGGUGUAGCGGUGAAAUGCGCAGAUAUCAGGAGGAACACCGGUGGCGAAGGCGGGUCUCUGGGCCGAGACUGACGCUGAGGAGCGAAAGCGUGGGGAGCGAACAGG